CAAUAUUAAUCGUGAAUAUAUCUGUCAAAGAUGCGGAAUACGUGUAAUUGUGCCGGGAAAAAUAAACAACCUGAGGACCAAAAUUAUCUGAGCUGUGUCAGUGUGUCGCUGAACAACAGAAAUUCAAAAUAGAAGAAGCUGUGUCUGGAAAAGCACCAUGGUUCCCCUUUGCAACCCUACGGUUUCUCUGCCCCUCCCGAUUCCGACGAAAGCCAAGAACCGCUCCUCGAAUUCAAUUAUAACCAACUCUGCUUCUUCCAGCAAGAGGCAGCGAACAACUACAACUACUUCCUUUUCGCCCUUCGAAACACGAGUCUCACUCAUUUUCGCCCUUGCUUCUCAAGCUACCUCUCUCUCCCAGCGACGUAAAUUUAUAGCUGACGUGGCUUCUGAGACUGCAAAGUACGUGUUUCCUAAAAGAUUUGAAAGCCGCACGCUCGAGGAGGCCUUCAUGGCAGUUCCCGACCUUGAGACUCUCAACUUCAAAGUUCUUAGUAGAACGGACUUCUAUGAGAUCCGGGAAGUUGAGCAUUAUUUUGUGGCAGAGACUACAAUGCCUGGGAAGACUGGCUUUGAUUUCAAUGGUUCUUCUCAAUCCUUUAAUGUCCUAGCUGAGUACCUCUUCGGUAAGAAUACAAGAAAGGAAAAAAUGGAGAUGACUACACCAGUGAUUACAACUAAGAAUCCGUCGGAUGGGGUUAAAAUGGAGAUGACUACCCCUGUGCUAACAACAAAGUCAGAAGAUCCAGAUAAAUGGAAAAUGUCUUUUGUCAUGCCAUCAAAAUAUGGUGCUGAUCUGCCACUGCCUAGAGACUCCUCUGUGAUGAUUAAAGAGAUCCCCAGAAAAAUAGUUGCUGUAGUUUCAUUUUCAGUUCAUAGCUCACUUACAUGCACUACAUCUACUUGCACAUACAAGGAGCUGUAAAUCACAACUUAAGUCACCCACUUGCCCCACUCGCACAACUAACUCAGCACACUUUCAAACAACUCAAUGAGUUGUAAUGAACUGUUUUUUGUUUCUAAAUUGUGCCUAUAAAUAAGGCUAUGUAUUGUAUAAUUUAAACAUAACAGAAAAUAGUUUUCUUCUUUCAUCUAUAUGUAUGCAACUUUUUUUCUUCUUGUUGGCGAGUCUUUGGAUUUUAGAUGCUGGAAGUUAUUAACACUGCAGAUAAUUAACUUUAGGAGAAACCCCAAAUCUGCAAUUUGGUUUACUAGAGCACAUGCAUAUUUUUAUGCGUGUAUGAUGUGUGUAUUUUCAUCUGAUUGUGCUCCAUUUGUAUUUCAAUGAAAUGUUUGAAUGCUUGGGCACGACGACUCUUCGUUUUCUCUAAUCACUGAGUUAUAAUAAUUAAGUAAAUCAUUGUUAGUUUUAUGAAAUAGUUUGAUGUUGGUUUAGUGUAUUAUGGAAUUGAAUAUUGUAGUAAGGAUAGUUUUGAUGAAUAAGUAGUUUGGACAAAUGGUUUGAGAAAUUUGAUAGUUAUAUUAUUGAUGGGUUAAAGAGAGAGGAGAAAGGCUAGUGAAAUUUGAUAUGUUUGUUAGUUAGUUACAAUGAACUCCAUGAUGACCUAUUUAUAGGCUCCAUAAGUUGAUUCUAGAUAAUUCCAAAUCUUAGAUAAUUCUAGAUAUUAGCCUAAAUAUUUUUAGAUACUAAUCUUAGACAUUUUUAGUACUUGAUUUAUUUACUUAACUUCUAGACUUCUCCAUUAUAAUAUCUAGAUAUUUAUUUUUAUGAAACAAGAUUAUAAAAAUUCUAGAAAAUUCUACAAUUGUGUAGCAUUAUUAAUACUCCUCCGUAAUGUACAUUUGUGUAACUCCAAGUAUCUCUUGAAAUAGUUUGAACUUUGAUCUUGGUAGUACCUUAGUGAAGAUGUCUGCCAGUUACUCAUCUGUGUUGCAAUACUCGAGCUUUAUCUUUUUCUCCAAUAUAGCUUCUCGUAUAAAAUGAUACUUGAUAGCUAUAUGCUUGGUCCUAUAAUGAUGGAUUGGAUUGUUUGCCACUGCUAUUGUUGACUUGCUGUCGCACAACAUAGUUGUUGGUUCUUUUUGGUGCUCUCCUAUGUCUUCGAAUAUUUUCCUUAGCCAUAUUGCUUGACUAAUAGCAUUUGCGGCUGCAAUAUACUCAACUUCAGCAGAUGAUUGAGCCACAAUUUCUUGUUUCUUUGAUGCCCAAGAGAAUCCAGAUCCUAGUAUAAAUGCAUAUCGAGAAGCGCUUUUCAUGUCGUCAAUUGAUCCUCCCAAUCACUAUCGAUAUAUCCAAGUAGUUUUGGAUCUUCGGUAGAUUAGUGAAUGCCAUAAUACUUUGUGUCUUUAGAUAUUUUAAGAUUCUUCUUGUAGCCCCAUAGUGUUUCUGACUUGGCUUUUGCAUGAAUUUUGAUAGUAAACUUGUUGCAUACAUAAUGUUAGGUCUUGCGGUAGUUAGAUAAAGGAAAUUUUCAAUGAGACUUCUGUAUUGCGAAACAUCUGCCUCUCUAGAUCCAUCUUGUUUUUGUAAUUUCUCAUUAUAGACUAGAAGAGUAGAUAGUGCUUUGCAAUUAUUUAUCUUGAACUUUUGUAACAAAUUUUGAGUGUAUUUCUUUUGCGAGAUGAAAAUUCCAUCUUCAUUUUGGUUUACCUCAAUGCCAAGAAAAUAGUGCAUCAAUCUUAAACCAGUCAUCUUAAAUGUCUGCUUCAUUUUUUUUUUGAAUUCUCUGAUCAUAGUCUCAUUGUUUCCUAUUUAGAUAAGAUCGUCCACGUACAAAGAAAUUAUGAAAGUGUUUGAAUUACCUUGCACCUUGAUGUAGAGUGUAGGCUCACUUUUACUUUUAAAUUCAUGAUCAGUGAAAUAUUUGUCAAUUCAACUGUACUAUACUUGCGGAGCUUACUUGAGUUCAUAGAGUGCUUUCUUUAGUCUUAGCACCUUGUCUUCAUAUCCUUCUAUAAUGAACCCUUGUGGUUGAUCAACAUAUACUUCUUCCACCAGUUCUCCAUUCAGAAAGGCAGAUUUCACGUCCAGUUGAUAGAUCUUCCAUAGCUUUUGUACGACUAGUGCAAUGAGCGCCCUUAUUGUAUCUAAACGAGAUAAAGGUGUAAAUGUCUCUAUGUAAUCUAUUCCAGAAAUUUGUGCAUAUCUUUUAGCUACGAGCCUUGCUUUAUGCUUUUGAAUAGAUCCAUCGAGUUUGAGCUUAGUCUUGUAUACCUACUUGACUCCAAUGUUAUCUUUAUUUGAAGGGCAAUUUACCAGUUUUCAUGUGUUAUUCUUCUCAAUCAUCUUGAUUUCUUCUACCAUAGCAUUUCUCUAUUCUUCUUGCUUUUCUGCUUCUUCAAAGCUUUUAGACUCGAUCUUAGCAAAAUUACAUGUUUCAUAUACAUCUUGUAGAGGCUUAGUUUUUUUUAGGAGAAUCCGUGGUUGCUUCUACUGUUGGAGUAGUUGUGCUUGCUUCUUCACGUUUUUGUUCCUCUAGUCUUGUAGGUGAUUGUUGUGAUAUUUCAAUGCUUUCUUUCUCGACUUUUUCAUCUUCUCAGUUCCAUGAAACACUUUCGUCAAACUUCACGUCUCGACUGAUUAUGAGUUUCUUCGUUUGCAAGUUAUACACACGAUAUCCUUUUGAUUGUGUACUAUACCCAAGAAAGAUUUCUUUCUCUGUCUUCUCAUCAAGCUUGCUUUUUUUUUUGUGUGAAAAUGUGGACAUAGCAUAUGUAUUCAAAGACUCUUAGAUGCUUUGCAGAAGAUUUUUGUCUACUCCAUGCUCUGAUUGGAGUUUUAUUGUCUACUGCGCUAGUGGGACAACGAUUUAGUAGGUAUACUGCUAUGUAAAUAGCUUCUACCUAAAAGAUGUUUGACAGAUUUUUCUCCUUGAGGAUGAAGCGUGACAUCUCCAUCACAGUUCUAUUUUUUUCUCUCAUAUACUCCAUUUUGCUCAAGAGCAUAUCCCACUGUGAGUUGACGCUCGACACCCUCUUCUUUGUAGAAUUUAUUAAAUUCUUUGAAAGUGUAUUCAGUUCCUUUGUCGCUACAAAAUACCUUGAUGCUACGACCACUUUGCUUCUCCACAUGUUGCUUGAACUUCUUGAAAAUGCUAAAAACCUCUUAUCUUUCACGUAGGAAAUAUACCCACGUCAUUCUAGUAUAAUCAUCGAUGAAGAGAAUGAAGUACCUGUUGUUAUUGAGUGAUGGAGUCUUCAUCGGACCACAAAUGUCAGUGUGAACUAAUUCAAGCAUCUCCUUGGCUCGCCAAGCUCUUCUAGAAGGAAAUGGUUGACGAUAUUUUCCAAGUUUUGUGAAUGAUGAAGAAGUCAAGCAUCGUGAACUGAAAUUACGCGAAGCCUUGAAAAGUGACAGACAGUUCAAAAUUAAAGAGGGAAGUUCAGUAGAAGUUGGACAAUACAAUCCACCAUUUACCCUACCAUUUCAACGGCGCAAUGAAGUGGCAUUGGAGGUGGAACGGAAAGAUGAGUAGGAAUAAACUUGAAUAUUUACCAUUCCUAUUAUAAGUUGUAAAAUUUAACACAGUUAGCAUCAUGAGGGAACAAGAUCUUUGAAGUCAUGUUGAUGCUUGCCUUUUUGUAAAUAUACUGAGAUUGAAAAUUUUAGAAUCAAAUAUAUGGAGAAUAUACCAAUUUCAUAUGCUUUAA